rnacentral:lncRNA from 12 species
GUCAAAAUCAGGCAUGCAAGGCACAAUGUAGCAAGGGAAGUAGGCAGCUCUCAUGUGGGCAGGGGCCCAUUUCAGUGGAACAAGGUCCCUUCUCCUGGCUUUGCUGAAGAUAUAGGCCUCAUUAUCAGCCCUUCUGUCUAGGUGACAAUGUUUGCAUGAGGGCUGGUCAUUGCUCACAACACACAGCAGCUUGUUGCUUGGCAAUACAUUGCCUCCACUGGCAUUAUUUCCUCACAGACCUGAGGCACAUGCAUCUGUGAUGUAUGUUCUCUCCAGGGGCUAUUUAUAAGGGGAGGAGAUCAGGGCUCAAGCAACGAUGGAAGGAGGGUCCUGACAGUGACACCUGGAAUGAUAUAGGACUCGGGACCAUGGACAGGCAGGCAUUGGAAUAUGGAAUAUUAAUAUUUUCCUCAUCUCUGGGAAGUUUUAAAAGUAAAGCUAUUCAAAAAAAAAAAAAAAAAAGGGAUCCUUGCGUGGCGCAGCGGUUUGGCGCCUGCCUUUGGCCCAGGGCGCGAUCCUGGAGACCCGGGAUCGAAUCCCACGUCGGGCUCCCGGUGCAUGGAGCCUGCUUCUCCCUCUGCCUGUGUCUCUGCCUCUCUCUCUCUCUCUCUCUCUCUCUGUGACUAUCAUAAAUAAAUGAAAAUUAAAAAAAAAAAAGUAAAGCUAU